GUCAGUUACCCACGGCGAAAGCCGAGAGCAAAUAUGUUCUUAACUGACUAGCCUCUGUCUAGCAAUCUAACAUUACCAGACUACGUUAAGUAGGUGCACACCUUCAGAUGGUGCCCUAGUCUGUCGCACUGUGAGGGCAACGUAAACAGCGGUGAGGGUGUAGCCGCAGUCGACCCUGACAUCAUCCAGUGCCGUCUCCACAGGCACGGACCCUAUUUAACAUUGGCGAAGGGCAAUCCAC
rfam:Lactobacillus harbinensis DSM 16991 NODE_80, whole genome shotgun sequence.